ACCAUUGAACAGAUGAACUACAAAAUCAAGCAACUAAAGGCAUAAAGGAAGAUUUAACCAAUCGAACUCCCCAUAAUAAUACCUCGAGCCAAUUAUGACAUAUUGAAGCAGCUUGAUUUUCCAACUUUCCAAUUCCAUAUAAAUUAAGGUAUAACCCCUUGAACAAAGAAGUAGCCCUCCUCAACCCGACACACAAGUGCAGUAACAACAAAAUAAUCAUUAUAAAGCAGCUUGCCAAUUCAACAGAUUAUAAACACCUGCUAAUGAAGAAUUAGAUAUGGCAUCCAUCAGGAAUUCUUGAUGGUCCCAGACCAAGAAAACUGCCCAAUAUCAGGAACACAGAAAAAACCCAAACAUCAGAACAUCCGUACAAAAAUCAUAUAAUAAAAAAACCAGGACCAUAGAUGUGAAAAUCAAGAACUCCUAAGGUUGUGGCAACAAAACUUCUCUGGUGCUCCACAAAACCAUAACUCGUCAGUAUACCGAAACGAUAUAAUAACACCAACCAGUUACCACUAUGCAACCGACAUUGCACUUCAACCAAAAACAAGAUGUUCUAAAUCAACCUGAAAGCGAUUAAUCAAUCACAGAAUAUUGCAAAUUCUGAAAGAAAACACUAGAUCAAAGGCUGCAGAUCAUCAAACAAAAGCAGAUCAUGACAAAUUCUUGGAAACCUAAAUCACUAAUAGAAGAUCCCUCAAAACCCCUGCUCAUAGAGGCCCAAAUCCAGAACAGAGGCAAUAGACCACAAAUAAAACCAUAUGGUCCAAGCUUAUAGGAACCCUAGAACAUGUACCAAAGAGCAAAAUUUGAAACCUAUAACAAACUAGCAACCAAGGGACGCUCUAAAUUCCUUUCAAGAAAUCCAAAAUCAGUAAAUUAAAUGUCACAGAUCCUCAAAUAAGAACAAGCAUGCCUGAAUCUGGAAACCCUAAAUCAAUUUGUUCGCCGAAGGCCUAAAUCAAAUUAUCAACCAAGAAUCCUUUAAAUCAAUCAUUCUCAAUACUGAAAACCCUAUAUCAAAUUGUUGACCGAAGACCUAUACCAUUCAAAAAAUCCCAAAUCAGUAAAUUAAAGUAUCACAGAUCCUCGAAUAAGAACAAAACAUUCUUGAAACCAUAAAUCAAAUUGUUGGCAGAAAACCUAAAUCAAACUAUCAACCAAAGAAUCCCAUAAAUCAAUAAUUCUCUAUUCUGGAAACCGUAGAUCAAAUUUUUGAUCGAAGACCUAAAUCAAAUUAUCAACCAAAAAAUACUAUAAAUCGUUUACGAGAAACCCCAAUUCAAUAAGAACUAGUUUUCAAGAAUCUCCAAUUCAAGAAAUCGAAAGCCACGUACCCAAACAAAAAUCCAAAUACAAGCAAGAGAAACCUAAGAUCCCAAAAACAAUGGCUAAAGAACCGUAAAAUCUUCCAAAACAUCUAAAGAACCGCAAAAUCUAACGGGGAAGGAGAAGAACGACACACCUAAGAACCAGAAGAAAAAAAAAGAACCAGGAGAAAAACCGAACGCUCCAUCCCGCCCGGAAGGGCGCGCUGCAAAUACUCACGACAUCCCCUGAUAUUUAUAGUGGGAGACGAGGCAGAGGAACGGUUGAGAUUAAGUUGAUCUAGUACCCAUCGACGGUGAGAUCGGG
rnacentral:lncRNA from 1 species